UGUGGAACAAACCAUCACAGGUACACCCUGCCCAGUGUUAUUAUCAACGGCCGCGGUACCCUGACCGUGCAAAGGUAGCAUAAUAAUUUGCCUUUUAAUUGAAGGCUAGUAUGAAAGGGCAAACGAGAAUAAGACUGUCUCAUAUACAACCACAAAAAUUUAUCCUCAGGUGAAGAAGCCUGAAUCUAUAUAAAAGACAAGAAGACCCCGUCGAGCUUUAGACUAAUACAUGUACAUCUGCACCAUCCACACUUUACCCCAUGUAGAAGCUUUUGUUGGGGCGACAACGGAAUAUAUUAAACUUCCGAUUCACCAAAGACCAUAAGUCACUCAAAAGAUCCUCAAAUGAUCAUAAGAACUAGCUACCGCAGGGAUAACAGACUAAUCUUCCUCCGGAGCCCAAAUCUACAGGAAGGCUUGGCACCUCGAUGUUGGCUUAGGAACAUCCCCUAGAUGAAGCAGUCUAGGAAGUGGGUUUGUUCAACCCUUAAUAUCCUACG
rnacentral:rRNA from 1 species